AGAGUUUGAUCCUGGCUCAGGAUGAACGCUGGCGGUAUGCCUUAUACAUGCAAGUCGUACGAGAGUUUUUAACUCUAGUGGCGGACGGGUGAGUAACACGUAAGAAUUUGCCUUUAGGAGGGGGACAACAACUGGAAACGGUUGCUAAUACCCCAUAUGCUUUCGAGUGAAAUGGAUUUCCGCCUAAAGAGAAGCUUGCGGCUGAUUAGCUUGUUGGUAGGGUAAUGGCCUACCAAGGCGACGAUCAGUAUCUGGUUUGAGAGGACGAUCAGACACACUGGAACUGAGACACGGUCCAGACUCCUACGGGAGGCAGCAGUAGGGAAUUUUCCGCAAUGGGCGAAAGCCUGACGGAGCAAUACCGCGUGAGGGAUGACUGCCUAUGGGUUGUAAACCUCUUUUUUCAGGGAGGAAUAAAUGACGUGUACCUGAAGAAUAAGCAUCGGCUAACUCCGUGCCAGCAGCCGCGGUAAGACGGAGGAUGCAAGUGUUAUCCGGAAUCACUGGGCGUAAAGCGUCUGUAGGUGGCUCGACAAGUCAACUGUUAAAUCUUGAAGCUCAACUUCGAAAUCGCAGUCGAAACUAUCGAACUAGAGUAUAGUAGAGGUAAAGGGAAUUUCCAGUGGAGCGGUGAAAUGCGUAGAGAUUGGAAAGAACACCGAUGGCGAAGGCACUUUACUGGGCUAUUACUGACACUCAGAGACGAAAGCUAGGGUAGCAAUGGGAUUAGAUACCCCAGUAGUCCUAG
rnacentral:rRNA from 1 species